UAUAAAGUGAGCACUGUACACUUUGUAUUCUGUUAUUGAAAUCACUCUAUUUGAAAAUGUAGAAAACAUCCAAAAAUAUUUAAAUAAAUGGUAUUCUAUUAUUGUUUAACAGCAUAAUUAAUUUUUUGAUCGCUUGACAGGCCUACUUUAGACAUUUUCCUAUUUUAGAAGUCUUUAGAGCUGCUACUUGGAGCUCUAUAUGUACAUUUACAAAACAUUACUCCCUAGACCUCGUGUCCAAAUCAGGCCCUCAGUUUGCUAGAGCAAUAAUUCAAACCUUACUCAGUCAGGACUCUGAGCUCUACCUUCUUUACAUAAGGUACUGCUUAUCAAACUAUCCCACGAGUGGCAGUAAACAAAAGAGAGGAGGAAUUAAGGGUACUUACCUGUAAUCAGAAUUUUUCAAGAUGGACUCUGCACAUUCAUGCUGCCAACCCAGUCUUCCCUUCUUCCUCAUAGUCCUAAUGAAAUCCUAGGCCUGAGAAAAGAGUGGAAGGAACAAAAGCAACCAGGAGUGCCACAUACCCCUUUUAUAACCUUGCCGUCACAAUUUUCAGGGAGACGGCAGAGUAGGGAGGGGCACGAGUGCUCCCAUAGGCAUUGCUGUGAGAAAAUUUCACUGUCAGAGCUGCAUGUGCUGGCACAUCCAAUGAGUGGGAAUAUGCAGAGUCCUUUUCAAUGAACUCCAGUUGUAGGUAAGUAAACUUCAUUUUCUGGAACUCUGCUUUCAAAAUAUAUCCAAGCACUUUGAUGGGGCUUACAGUUUUGCAGCAGAAUAUUUCUUAAAUAUAUGGUAGUUCAUAAUGUUGCCAUGUCUUGAUCUCAAGAAAGCUGCUACAUCAUCUGGGGAAAAGGCCUAAUUGCAGUCAGGUUGAGGGUGAUGACAGAAAGACUGCUAUCAUAGGAUGAAGAGGUUGGCAAAUGCUUAUCUCAGUUGUCUGAACUUCUCUGCUAUAAGGAGGAAAGAGAAGAGUAGGAACUUUAAGAGUGAGUUCCAGAAUAGGUAAAAUUUCCUGAACAAUGUUUAUAUGAAAUUGCUUGUUUCACCCCUUCAGUUUAAAUCUAGCUUAGUUAUUUUUUAAAAUAAUUUCAGCAAAAUCUGUUCAUGGAAAAGAUGACAUAGUUUAGUUAAUUUGCCAUGGAACUAGAAGUUAGUAAUUGAUGUGUUCCAAUCCCAGCUUUGCCAUUGUCUUUUUGUGUGGCUUGGGUAAGUAAUGACAUCUCUUUCCUCACCCAUAUAAUAAUGUCUUACCUGCCAAACAUGGUAUCGUGAGGCUUAAUUACAUAAUGUUUGCAUGCUGUUUUGAAGCUGUAAUGCACUAUGUAAAUGCUAGAGAUUAUCAAUAAAUGGAUUCUUUAAA